CCUACGGGUGGCAGCAGUGGGGAAUAUUGCACAAUGGGGGCAACCCUGAUGCAGCAACGCCGCGUGAGUGAAGAAGUCUUUCUGAAUUUAAAACUCUAUCAGCAGGGAAGAAGAACGACGGUACCUGACUAAGAAGCACCGGCUAACUACGUGCCAGCAGCCGCGGUAAUACGGAGGAUGCAAGCGUUAUCCGGAUUUACGGGGUGUAACGGGAGCGUAGACGGCUGUGCAAGUCGGAAGUGAAAGCACGUGGCUCAACCGCGGAACUGCUUUGGAGACUGUAUAGCUUGAGUACUGGAGAGGCAGGCGGAAUUCCUAGUGUAGCGGUGAAAUGCGUAGAGAUUAUGAGGAACACCAGUGGCGAAGGCGGCCUGCUGGACAGAAACUGACGUUGAGGCUCGAAAGCGUGGGGAGCAAACAGGAUUAGAUACCCCAGUAGUC
rnacentral:rRNA from 1 species